GACGAACGCUGGCGGCGUGCUUAACACAUGCAAGUCGAACGAUGAAGCGGUGCUUGCACCGUGGAUUAGUGGCGAACGGGUGAGUAAUACGUGAGUGACCUACCUUUGACUCUGGGAUAAGCCUGGGAAACUGGGUCUAAUACCGGAUACGACCAAUCUCUGCAUGGGGUGUUGGUGGAAAGCGUUAUGGAGUGGUUUUAGAUGGGCUCACGGCCUAUCAGCUUGUUGGUGAGGUAAUGGCUUACCAAGGCGACGACGGGUAGCCGGCCUGAGAGGGUGACCGGCCACACUGGGACUGAGACACGGCCCAGACUCCUACGGGAGGCAGCAGUGGGGAAUAUUGCACAAUGGGCGCAAGCCUGAUGCAGCGACGCCGCGUGAGGGAUGACGGCCUUCGGGUUGUAAACCUCUGUUAGCAUCGAAGAAGCGAAAGUGACGGUAGGUGCAAAGAAAGCGCCGGCUAACUACGUGC
rnacentral:rRNA from 1 species